AAUAAAAUGCCUGACUUAAAAGGGUUAUCUUGAUAGGAUAAAUAAUAUACUAAUGUAUUUUUAUUA
rnacentral:tRNA from 1 species